UACAAAGGGUGCGAGCGUUACUCGGAAUUACUGGGCGUAAAGCGCGCGUAGGCGGCUUUGCAAGUCGUGUGUGAAAUCCCCGGGCUCAACCUGGGAACUGCAUCCGAAACUGCCUUGCUAGAGUAUGGGAGAGGGAAGUGGAAUUUCCGGUGUAGCGGUGAAAUGCGUAGAUAUCGGAAGGAACAUCAGUGGCGAAGGCGACUUCCUGGACCAAUACUGACGCUCAGGUGCGAAAGCGUGGGGAGCAAACAGG
rnacentral:rRNA from 1 species